AUUGAACGCUGGCGGCAGGCCUAACAUAUGCAAGUCGAGCGGAUGAAGGGAGCUUGCUCCUGGAUUCAGCGGCGGACGGGUGAGUAAUGCCUAGGAAUCUGCCUGGUAGUGGGGGAUAACGUCCGGAAACGGGCGCUAAUACCGCAUACGUCCUGAGGGAGAAAGUGGGGGAUCUUCGGACCUCACGCUAUCAGAUGAGCCUAGGUCGGAUUAGCUAGUUGGUGGGGUAAAGGCCUACCAAGGCGACGAUCCGUAACUGGUCUGAGAGGAUGAUCAGUCACACUGGAACUGAGACACGGUCCAGACUCCUACGGGAGGCAGCAGUGGGGAAUAUUGGACAAUGGGCGAAAGCCUGAUCCAGCCAUGCCGCGUGUGUGAAGAAGGUCUUCGGAUUGUAAAGCACUUUAAGUUGGGAGGAAGGGCAGUAAGUUAAUACCUUGCUGUUUUGACGUUACCAACAGAAUAAGCACCGGCUAACUUCGUGC
rnacentral:rRNA from 1 species